GGAAAGUAGUGGGCGUGUCAAAGAUUGGGUGUGUCGAAAGGAAAGUAGUGGGCAUGUGGAAAGGAGUUGUUUAGGAGAGGCUCCAAGAUGGCAGCUUGAGCGCACGUGUCCUACCGAGCUCUGCAUACCAACUUUUGUAAGAUAGUGAGAAGUGUAUUAUUUUGAACUUCCAAAUUAAUACUUCGCUUGCUAAAAACACCAGGUUAUUGAUGAUUUAAGAUGAUAUUUUCCAAAAUGUCACAGCGCACUGACAGAAAGAGACAUUUUAUGGCUACCUCCUCAGCUAGCAAUGCUCCGCCAUCAUCCAAUGUCGUUACACAGGAGGCAAAUGCUUUGAUUGACAACUGCCACAACUAUACUGGUCUGACAGAUUCUAUGACACUUUCCGUGUCAGAGGAGGAUUUUCCUUCUUUGCCUAUAACCAGAAGCAAACCUCCAGCUUCCAAGAAAGGCAUGUUUGAACUGGGCCCAGAUGCCGCUGCCAAUAAUGAUGUUAUCGCCACUCUUUCCAGGCUCAUCAAUGCAAGGUACGAUGCCAUAGAAAAAAUGGUUGGCGACAACGCAAUGAAAAUCGAGGGCUUAAAAAAAAAACUGUUGACUUUGCAUGCAUGUAAGAACGUUAAGAAGAAGGUCGCCCACAUUGAAAAGCAUGUCGAAAGGAGGAGGGAAAGAUGGACUUGUGCCAAAGAAGAAUCGCGGAACUUGAAAGCUAUUCCAGACGGUGGAAUCUAAGACUGUAUGGAGUUCCCGAGUCAGAUGGGGAGAACGUGCAGCAAGAGACCAUCAAAGUCUGCCAAGCUAUCCUACCUGUGGAGAAGGCUAAGCUAACAGAUGUUGUUGACACUGUACAUCGCCUCGGCACGAGAAGGCAGGGUGACUCCAAGCCCAGAGGUGUCAUUCUCCAGUUCACAUCAUGGAUCUACAGGGAUGCCAUUUGGAAAGCAGCCAAGAAAUGUACUUUCCUAUGCGAUAACAAUCUACGGUUUGCUGAAUACCUCUCAAAAGCAGACAGAGAAAGGAGAGAGAAACUGUGGCCAGCUGUGGAAAAAGCAUGAAAAGAAGUGAAAGCGGCUUACUUCAUCGGAGGGCGCGCUUUCAUCAACUGAUCCAAAAUCAACCUUACUCCUUGAGAACUGUCAUAGGCUGUGCCUGUUGGUCAACAUAGGCUACCUAGAUAGCUACCUCUGAUGUGAGCAGAUCUCACUCCCGGCUCUAAGGGAGGUAACCUGCAUAUGAUCUACAAUGCACUGUUACACCCACAGCCAAAGAGCCAUUGUUACAGUGGAACACAUUCUUCCUUCAGAUUCUCUAAAAUUGGUUCAGCCACAGUGGUCCCCAGGUUUUCACUCCAACCAUACAUCAUUGGGCUGUGUCUGGCUCCAUCAUCUCCUGUGGGCUGAACACCUUCUGGCAGUGGGACAGGUGACACCAGCCGGACCUUUCCUGAACUCUAACUGCCGUUGGUGUUGCCAUGGUUACCUCGAAUGGCCCCAUCCAUCUUGGCUGGUUCCAUUUUCUCUUGUGGACCCGGAUUUUGACCCAGUCUCCAACCUCCACAGGCAGGUAGUCAGGGUCCUCACCUGGUACCUCCUCCUGAGCUUUCCUAGUGUGAGAGUGGAGAGAUCUGACAAUAGUAGUUAGCUCUUUCAUGUUCUACUUCAGCUAGAGUGAGGUCUAUUUGUCUGUCAGUCAUGGGUCUGUGUGCAGGAACAUUCAUGGGUCUUCCUGUGAACAUUUAAUGUGGUGUGCACCCCAGGCCUUUAUUAACACUACUUCACAUUUUCAUUAACACCAGUGGUAAACAAUCCACCCAAGAUUUAUUGGUGGAGUGGCAUGCCGAAGCUAACCCUUGUUUAAUGGAUUGGUUAGCUCUCUUUGUAACCCCAUUACUCUGGGGGUGGUAGAUGGACACAAACUUCUGGUCCACACCCAUCAUUAUGGCUACCUGCUUCACUACAUCACCAGUGAAGUGGGUACCGUUGUCUGCAGAUAAUACCUAGAUUUGGUGUUCCUGAGAUUUUAUCUCCCUCACUAGUAGCUUUGCUACUGUCUUAGCAUCACAGUGUGUGGUGGGAAAUGCCUCCACCCACCUAGGUGAACCUGUCAAUAAAGACUAAACAGUACCUUUUCCUUUCUUUUCUUUCUGCAAGAUCUAUAAAAUCCAUGGCAAGAUGGACAAAUGGUCCUCUUAGCGUAGGGAAAUGACCUGGUUUCAGAGGUGUUCCUUUGGCAAUGUUAAAUUGCAUGCACGUAGCACAUCGGAACAGAAACUGUUUCACAUGCUGAGUCAAAUUUGGACAAAACCAAUCAUAUCCCCCCUUGACAAAUGGGCCAUACCAUGGGCCACUUGGCAAACAGAGGUGAUAAGACAAGCUGGCAUUCACUGUCUGCCAGACAGUCUGUCUCCAAAUUUUAGAAACUGUGUCAAGUUUACAACCCCGCUGUUGUCAUACCAAAUGAGAACCAACAUCCAAAGCCUGUUUAGAUGCCAAAUCAUCAGUGUCUUUCCCAACAGUAGCAGAGAAGAACAUGGAGUGGCUAUGACACUUUGAGGCAGCCAAUUUAGCAGCCUCAUCAGCCUCAUAUUUCGAAUAGUACUUCCACAAGCAUUGUGAAAACCCCUACUCCUCCAGACACCACACCAGGAGAGACAAACCCCUAUUGCAUAAGCAGAAUCGAAGAAAAGUGUAACCCUUUUCCCUUCUCUCAUGUUACAGGCAGUGGUUAGUGCCAAAAGUUCAGCCUGUUGAGCUGAGAAGGUAUCUGGUAAUGGUUGUUGUAUGUGAGUGGUUCUAUCAAUUGUUACAAUACCAAACCCUGCAUGUUUCUUCCCUGUAGUUUGAUCUAUAUAUGCAGAACCGUCCACGAAAAGCUCAGCAUCAGUCAGGGCAGUGUCAGAGAGGUGAGGCCCAGCAUUCGUUGGUGUGGGACCCACUGUCUCUGCACUGCCUUUGGUUGAAUCUGUCAUGGUGCCCCGUGAUUUGGUUUUAAUCAGGUUCUAUGUAAUGUGGACUGAGUGACUUAUCUGUAUGGUACUGUAGAAAAACCCAGUUCUAUCCCCGUAAACAGGUAGUAGAACCUAACAUAGGGUGAUAUACCCAACGCAGUUCUAUUUUCUCUAACCCCUCUUCUUCUUUAGUUUCACUACAUUUAUUCACUAACCACGCUACUGUAAGUGGUUCCACAUACGUGUGGUAAAUAACCACAAUUGGUUUCAAUUGUAUUUUAACUUCAGUACGGGUGUCUCUCUGUCUCCUCUCUUGUGGAUGUAAUGGAAGAGUAAACUCACAUACAUGUCUUUCCCAAAACGCAAUUCUUAAAUGUAUCCCUUCUUGUACUAGUCUUAAAGACUUGUUGUCUAUACCAGUCUAGAUUUAUUUCAGCACAUAGAAAUUCUUGAUAUUGACUAGCAUAUAUCCAUUCACUGUUAUCAAUACACUCAAUUCAUUCAACAAUUGUACCACACCAAAUCUAUAAUCCCACCAAUUAUACAUAUAUCAAAACAAAACCAAUGUCUUCCCUCAGGUAAGGACACCAUACACAACCAUUCUUUAAAAACCUGUGCCUUCCAUCAGGUAAGGACACCUUACACAACCAUUCUUUAAAAACCUGUGCCUUCCCUCAGGUAAGAACACCAUACACAACCAUUCUUUAAAAACCUGUGCCUUCCCUCAGGUGUCAUGCCCUGACCAUAGAGAGCCCUUGGUUCUCUAUGGUGUAGUAGGUCAGGGCGUGACUAGGGGGUGUUCUAGUUCAAUAUUUCUAUGUUGGUGUUUUGUAUGGUUCCCAAUUAGAGACAGCUGGUAAUCGUUGCCUCUAAUUGGGGAUCAUAUUUAGGUAGCCAUUUUUCCCACCUGUGUUUGUGGGAUAUUGUUUGUAUUGGUGCUUGUUUGUUGUUUUGGUUAAGGAAGUUUCACUUUAAAUAACUAUGUGGAACUCAACAAACGCUGCACCUUGGUCCGUCUCUUACAACAACUGUGACACCGGUUAAGGACACCAUAUACAACAAUUCUUUAAAAACCCAUGCCUCCCCUCAGGUAAGGACACCAUGCGCAAAUAACACUUUCAAUCACUUGUCACCCAGUACCUUAGUACUGACUUGGUUCAUCCUAAUCUAUAACCAAGUUCCUCACACAAGGUUCCAUUAGACCCUCAGGAAUUUCUAACUAUUACACCUGGGAUUCUGUCAUUUAUCACAUAUACAUCAUAUUACAGUGCUUUUUCUAAUUUUAGACAUCUGGUUUAACAGGCAUCUGCUUACCUUCUAAUUUGAUGCGCUGCACAGUGGGACGAAGAUCAUCCAGAUGCAGUGGUCACCAACUCCUGUGGUUUCUCACUCUACUAUAAGCCAUUUCAACUUCAUCUGGAAAAAUCGUAUACAUUAUAUUAGGAAAUCUGUCAUUAUGAAUAUGGUGAUCUCAAUUGUUUUUAUUUUCUUAUUUUGAAUAAUACUUAAGAUAAAUUGGACUAAACAUUUCUUAAAGAAUCCGUCUUCAGUUUGGAAUCUCAUCCCUCAUAUCUUCUCCUGUUUUGGUGGCCUCAAUUUUGUUACUUUGUAACUAUAAACUGUAUAAGAUUCUUACAAAAUGAUCUGCUUUUCAUAGACAAGUAUUCUUAGCGUGGUCGUUAAUAUAUAAACAAUUUCUCCCCGCAUACAGUGCCUUGCUAAAGUAUUCGGCCCCCUUGAACUUUUCAACCUUUUGACACAUAUUCAGAAUAAUUUUGCACGGCCAAUUUUUCAGUUUUUUAUUUGUUAAAAAAGUUUGAAAUAUCCAAUAAAUUUCGUUCCACUUCAUAAUUGUGUCCCACUUGUUGUUGAUUCUUCACAAAAAAUUACAGUUUUAUAUCUUUAUGUUUGAAGCCUGAAAUGUGUCAAAAGGUCGAAAAGUUAAAGGGGGCCGAAUACUUUCGCAAGGCACUGUAGGUAUUUCAUUUGGCACAAGGAUAUUUUGUAUAGAAAAA
rnacentral:lncRNA from 1 species